AACGCACCUUGCGCUCCUUGGUAUUCCGAGGAGCAUGCCUGUUUGAGUGUCAUGGAAUUAUCAAUCCUGUUUUACUUUAUUGUGAAAUGGGCUUGGAUUUGGAGGCUUUUUGCUGGCUGCAUUUAUAUUUGCUGGUCGGCUCCUCUUGAAUAUAUUAGCUUGAGUCUUUUAAUGAGAUUGGCUUAUCGGUGUGAUAAAUUUGCGCCGUGGUUGGUUUCAUGUAAAUUAAGCUUCUAAAUCGUCCCGCGCAGGGACAAAUACAUUUGACCUCUGACCUCAAAUCAGGUAGGAUUACCCGCUGAACUUAA
rnacentral:misc_RNA from 1 species